AAAAAAACUUUGGAGGGUAAUCUAUUCCAGUACCUUUUGAUGACUUUAAGAGAAACCAGAGUGAGCAAACAAUUUAACACAUGUAAUGUUAUUGUCCCCCAAGUCCCUGGUACAAGUUCAAGGCUGAGAAGAAGUAAGACUU